ensembl:lncRNA
CUUGGGACCAGUUCUACGCAUUAGUUAUGCGCAGUAGCGAGCAGGAAGUAAAGCCGUAAAGCCGCGAAAUCAACGGCCCCACCCCUGGAGAAGGGUCCAACUGCAGCUUGCAGCAGUCGCUCACGCCAGGCCCCCUGCUCACGCCGCGCCCGCUCACGCCGUGCCCCCGCUGGCACGCAACUUCCGACUUUCAGACAUGUACGGUUUGUUUACAAGACGCAGAUGGACCAUAUUGCCAUAUUGAGUCAUGGCGGCAACAACUCCCGGGAAGCACCUGUUACCAACGUGUGUGCUUUCUGUAAUCCUAAAUGAAGUGGUACUACAGGAAGGAGAUAAGGCAUACUUAAGAUUGGCUCUUGUGUGUCCACUGACUCCUUCAGGAGACGGGCACAUUUUCAGUGGCUUGACAGUGUCGCUACAUGGAGCAGGUUUUCUGAGUCCUAAAGAAAAUAAUUCUACACCAUGUACUCCGUGGACACCUGUCGUGAAUGUGGAAUGCUUUUCAAAAACUGCACACAUGGAUAUGUUAGAACAGGACAAAGGGGUGUACUUGAAGCAGUUUACUCAGAAGACCCACAUCCAGGUUACUGCGAUCACUUUUGCCGCCAAAUGCAAUAGUGAGAACGGACACGUAUACUAACUGUUGGCAGACAACCCUGAGCCAGCUGGGUGUUUUUCAAGCUGCAGGCCCCCGUGACAAUUUGUGGCUGGAAACUUGGGAUUUAAUUUUGAAUUCUCCAGUGUUAUUACAGACUGUUAAUUAAUUGGUUAUGACAAAAAAGAGAUGUCAUAUGUUUAAACAACCUUUGGGUGAACUUUUUGUAUAAUUUUAAAAAUGUUAAAACUAACAUCUAUUGAGAGUCUACUUUAUGCUUUUUUGGUUUUAAUAACAUCCUGUUCAAUGUGGAAUAAAAUUCAAAUCCUCUGAAUAUUGAGUCCAUUUCUGAACACUGGGGAGAUUGUGUGUACAACUGGUGAUCCGGUUUAUUGAAUGCAUUGCACCAAUAUGAUUUCUACCCAGUGCUGUACAUUUAUCAUUUGUUAAUAUAAUAAUACAGACAGUCUGACAUUUCCAUACCCACAGGAUUAAAGGGCCUACAUCUACGUACAGAUACUGAUCAGCAUAAAGUCCUUUGGAAUCACAUGUAAACUGCAGUAGAGGAUUUUUCUUUCAGUGCUUCUACCCAGAGAGAGCCUUCUAGUCCUCUUGUGACCAGCCCACUAUGUGACAGUACUGUCACAUAGUACAUAACUUAC